UUCAAUAACAACAUGCUUAAAUGAAAUGGAUGUCACCUUUCAAACAAUGAAGUGCAAGUAGAGUUUCAAACUCACGGUAAGAAAUGGUAGUAUGCUGCUGAUUUUGGCAAGACAAAAGGAUUGAAGGAGGGUGGCAAGAUUUCUAUGUGUGUGGCCUCUAUAUAUAGAGAGCCAGUUGAAGCUUUGAGAAGUUUAAACAUUAAUAUGAAGUGUUAUACCCUGAUUUUAAACCUAAAAAAUACUCGUUCAAAUUUCUUUUCUACCACUGAUAAUUGUCAAUUUACUGUCGUGUUACUUUGAAUCUUCACUUUAUUUUCAUCUGCAUAUCUUANUAGGAAUUUUUAGAGAAAAGAUUGAGCAUGCAGAGGUUCAAUUAGCAAAAAAGCAGGGUGCAGAUAGCAGUAAAAUUGCAAAAAUUUAAAAAAAGCAAAGCCCAAACCAACCAAAAGAUCCGGAUUCACCAGGAGCGUUGGAUUGAUCCAGGGAAGGAAACCCAAGAUCCAACGGCCAGGAACAAAGGGGAUUGGACCGGUCUUGGACCGGUCCGGUUCACUGGCUUAUAUAAGCAUAGGAGCACCGGUUUUUUCAUUCUUCUCUUGCCUUUCUCUCUCUUCUCUCAUCCUAGUGAGAGAAGCUCUCACUUCUCUCUUCUCCUCCCUCGUCGGAUUCUGGAAAAUGAAGAUGAACUUCAUCUUCUCCGGUGAAACUUGUUCCUCCGGCGUGGUGGUCGGCCGCCCCAAGGGAGGCGGCGCCACCGCCGGAAGUUGAACAACUUUCUCCGUUUUCAAAAUUUUUUACACUUUUGGAAAUCCUUUUUCGUUCUAAACACGAAUCCGGUACUGGUUUCUUCAUGCAAGGUUUGAAUCGUUGUAGAUCUACACUUUUGUUCACGGUUUUGAAAAAGAUUUUUCUUGAUUCUUUUUAGUGUUUUGUUGAAUGAAAUCUUUGGAACUUUGCAGAUCUAUAACUGAUUCGUGUUUGUUGAUAUUUUUGAGAAAGAAAGAUGAAAUUUGAGUUUUACCUGAGUUUUGUUUGGAGAUUAUACGAGAUUCUUCAGANACACUUUCUUUCCAAAUCCUUAACCUAAAUAAACUCUCUUUUUCAAUAAAUAAGCAUAAAAGUAAAGCGUAGACAUAAAGCUAGGAAAGCGGUUCCUAUAGAAUACUAUAGUCGUUACGGGUGCUUAACACCUUCCCGUAACGAAAACGACCCCCGAACUUAGAGUUUCUAAGGGUUUUCUCAAUUUUACCCUUCCCAAGAAAAAAUAGAGAAUAUCAAAGAUUGAAAGGUUCAAGCCUAAUUAAUGACUUGAUACCCCAAAAUCGUGAUAACAUGAAGUAUUAAGUUGAGUAGUUGGCAACACAAAGGAGACUUUAAUGAUGACAUGUCCACACUUGGGAGGGAAAUUCAAAUUUGAAAACUUGAAAUCAACAUUAAAUGAUGGUAC
rnacentral:lncRNA from 1 species